UAUUAUGUUAUGGUCUAUCUUUCUCUUUAGUUCUAAUAACAUUUGCGUUGUACAUCUGGGUGCUCCAGUGUUGGAUGCAUAUAUAUGUGAAGUUGUUAUAUCUUCUUGCUGAAUUGACCCUUUUAUCAUUAUCUAGUGACCUUCUUUGCUUCUUAUAGGUUUUGUCUUGAAAUCUAUAUUGUCAGGAGGAUUCAAGAUGGCGCUGAGAGAACAACCCAGGAUUGAAUCUCUCGGUGAAUGUGCAGAGAGGUAUAAAGAAGGAAAAGAUACAAGUAUUCAUGUGAUGAGAGGCACUGAAUCACUGAAAAAAAGUGACCUAGAAGCAACAUCAGUAUUCAGAGAGUUUAGGUUCAAUAUCCUGAAUCUCCAAUCCUUUAAGAAAAGAAAGGAAGCGGGGGAAAGCUGA
rnacentral:lncRNA from 13 species